rnacentral:tRNA from 1 species
GGUCGGUUGGUGUAGUUGGUUAUCACGUGGUAUGUUUGCGACGGACAAGGUCGCCGGUUCGAACCCGGCACUGAUCA